rnacentral:lncRNA from 1 species
GGUGGAGCCUGGCUGCACCUCUCCUAGACCUCAUUUAAGGGCUGACUGCAACUGGGGAAGGUUUUCUGGUUUAAGAUUCUUCCUUUGUAGAGUUUUCUCUGCGUGGUUCAAUCUUUAGAGCUAGGUAAAUAUUACAAAUUAGUCCACAACUGUGAAAGAAAGCUGAGUAGGAUAUUCUGCACAAGGUGGACUGACAAUAAGUACUGAACUAAGAAGACUUCAGGGGAGAGAAGAAAGACAAGAUGUAUACUCAACAGCUAACGGAAAAAUGACUUCUGAUGACUAUUGGCCAGGCUACUUGUUUCCUGAAUGCUGAAAAUAUACCUAAGAGCCUAAAGAAAGGUGAUGCGUUUUGUGGGACAGCUGCAGAAAUGGGACUUUCUGAUCAUGGGAGACGGUUGUUAUUGUGGAACUCAUUCCGAUCAACCGCUGGAGUUUAGUAACCUGUGAGAACCGAGACAGCUUUUGUGUCUUCUGAGAAGCCUACCAAAAAAGUGUUAUGUUGGGCGGGUGGCAGCGCUGCAGGAUUUUGAUCAAAUCCACAUCUCUUGCUGGCUUUCUUAACAUAUGUUACAUUUUAUGUAAUGCAAACCAAGACAGCUUUACGAAACAGAUCAGUUCAGUCCAUCUUCAUAGAUGGAUGCCUUCAGCAGUGUUUGAAUUCAUGACUUAUUUAUUUUUUACUUAUUUUUCAGGGCAGAUUUGAGUAUUAUUGGUGUUAAUUCUGAAUUUCUAAAACCGGUGAUUUGCUAGUGCUGUUCUGUAAUGCCCUACAUUGCCUGUCUUUGCUUAGAAUUUCAUAUCUGAUAUUUUUAAUGUUAAGGUCAAUGUUAUUGAUCCUGUGGAUCUGUUCUUCUGCU